rnacentral:rRNA from 1 species
AAACUCAAGCUAAUACCGCAUGACGUCUGAGGACGAAAGCUGGGGACCUUAUGGCCUGGCGCUUUGAGAUUAGCCUGCGUCCGAUUAGCUAGUUGGUGGGGUAAGGGCCUACCAAGGCGACGAUCGGUAGCUGGUCUGAGAGGAUGAUCAGCCACACUGGAACUGAGAGACGGUCCAGACUCCUACGGGAGGCAGCAGUGGGGAAUAUUGGACAAUGGGGGGAACCCUGAUCCAGCAAUGCCGUGUGUGUGAAGAAGGCCUGAGGGUUGUAAAGCACUUUCGGUGGGGAGGAGGAUGCAUUGGUUAAGAGCUGAAGUAUUGGACGGUACCCACAGAAGAAGCACCGGCUAACUCCGUGCCAGCAGCCGCGGUAAUACGGAGGGUGCGAGCGUUAAUCGGAAUUACUGGGCGUAAAGGGUGCGUAGGUGGUUGAUUAAGUUAUCUGUGAAAUUCCUGGGCUUAACCUGGGCGUGUCAGAUGAUACUGAUUGACUCGAGUACGGGAGAGGGUAGUGGAAUUUCCGGUGUAGCGGUGAAAUGCGUAGAGAUCGGAAGGAACACCAGUGGCGAAGGCGGCUACCUGGCCUGAUACUGACACUGAGGCACGAAAGCGUGGGGAGCAAACAGGAUUAGAUACCCUGGUAGUCCACGCUGUAAACGAUGUCAACUAGCUGUUGGUUAUAUGAAGAUAAUUAGUGGCGCAGCGAACGCGAUAAGUUGACCGCCUGGGGAGUACGGUCGCAAGAUUAAAACUCAAAGGAAUUGACGG